rnacentral:rRNA from 1 species
CCUACGGUGGGCAGCAGUGGGGAAUAUUGGGCAAUGGGCGCAAGCCUGACCCAGCAACGCCGCGUGAAGGAAGAAGGCUUUCGGGUUGUAAACUUCUUUUCUCAGGGACGAAGAAAGUGACGGUACCUGAGGAAUAAGCCACGGCUAACUACGUGCCAGCAGCCGCGGUAAUACGUAGGUGGCAAGCGUUAUCCGGAUUUAUUGGGUGUAAAGGGCGUGUAGGCGGGAGCGCAAGUCAGAUGUGAAAACUCAGGGCUCAACCCUGAGCCUGCAUUUGAAACUGUGUUUCUUGAGUGCUGGAGAGGCCAUCGGAAUUCCGUGUGUAGCGGUGAAAUGCGUAGAUAUCAGGAGGAACACCGGUGGCGAAGGCGGCCUGCUGGACUGCAACUGACGUUGAGGCCCGAAAGCGUGGGGAGCAAACAGGAUUAGAUACCCCUGUAGUC